UAGGGAAUAUUGCGCAAUGGACGAAAGUCUGACGCAGCGACGCCGCGUGAGGGAUGGAGGCCUUCGGGUCGUAAACCUCUGUCAGGAGGGAAGAAAGCUCAUUGUGCUAAUCAGCGAUGGGUUGACGGUACCUGCAAAGGAAGCGCCGGCUAACUCCGUGCCAGCAGCCGCGGUAAUACGGAGGGCGCGAGCGUUAAUCGGAAUCACUGGGCGUAAAGCGGGCGUAGGCUGUUGUGUAAGUCAGAGGUGAAAGCCCGCAGCUCAACUGCGGAAUUGCCUUUGAAACUGUGCAACUUGAAUCCAGGAGAGGGUGGCGGAAUUCCAGGUGUAGGAGUGAAAUCCGUAGAUAUCUGGAGGAACACCAGCGGCGAAGGCGGCCGCCUGGCCUGGUAUUGACGCUGAGGUGCGAAAGCGUGGGGAGCAAACAGG
rnacentral:rRNA from 1 species